GGAAGUAAACGUCGUAACAAGGUUUCCGGAGGUGAACCUGCGGAAGGAUCAUUAAUGAGUUGUCAUGGGGUUCGAUGCUGGCAGCCAAUUUUUGGAUGCAUGUGCUUGCCCUAACAAUCAUCUUCCAAACACCUGUGCACAUUUUUGAGGGAGUCUUGAGUUGGUUGCCGCUCUUGGGUGAUUUUCACACAUUCCCUUAAAUCAUUAUACGCUAUUAACAAUGUUGAACGUGCUCUGUGCCGCAAGGCUAUUAAUAUAAUACAACUUUUAACAACGGAUCUCUUGGCUCUC
rnacentral:misc_RNA from 1 species